AUGGAGGGGGGAGGUCGGACCAACUCAAUCCAGCGCGCCUUUAGCCUCGCCGCGGAGAGAGGCUCGCCUGUCGUCUUCGAGCCGGCCAUGGGUAUGGUCUUCUCGUCAGACCAAGAGGCGCACGAGUUUUACAACGCCUAUUCUUGGGAAGUUGGGUUUGGGAUCAAGCGGGGAAACAAGUAUACCACGAAGCCCGCAUGCUACAAAACAAUGCAGGAAUUCCUCUGCUCGUGCGAGGGAUCCAACAAGGAGGAGAACACAAAAUCUGCUAGGACAAAAUGCAAGGCUAUGGUCAGGCUAAAGAGGACUGCAGAUGAUGGAUGGUACUUCUCCACAGUCGUCCUGACCCAUAACCACGAGCUUGCAGACACUGCCGGAGAGAAGAAGGUGUGGAAGUGCCACAAUACCAUUGACUAG
rnacentral:rRNA from 1 species